AGGAGACGCUGGCGGCGUGCCUAAUACAUGCAAGUCGAGCGGGGAGUUAUGCUUGAUCGCUUCGGUGAGACGGCAUAUAUCCUAGCGGCGGACGGGUGAGUAACGCGUGGGUAAUCUACCUCGUAGUUCGGGAUAACAGGCCGAAAGGCUUGCUAAUACCGGAUGAGUUCAUGCUUAUGCAUAUAGGCAUGAAGAAAGGGCUAGCCCGCUAUGAGAUGAGCCCGCGUCCCAUUAGCUUGUUGGUGGGGGUAAUGGCCUACCAAGGCAACGAUGGGUAGCCGGCCUGAGAGGGUGUACGGCCACACUGGGACUGAGACACGGCCCAGACUCCUACGGGGGGCAGCAGUAGGGAAUUUUCGGCAAUGGGCGAAAGCCUGACCGAGCGACGCCGCGUGAGGGACGAAGGCCUUCGGGUUGUAAACCUCUGUCUGGGGGGAUGAGAACGGACGGUACCCCCCGGAGGAAGCCCCGGCUAACUACGUG
rnacentral:rRNA from 1 species